rnacentral:rRNA from 1 species
CGGAUCGGAGCCUGCAACCCGACUCCGUGAAGCUGGAUUCGCUAGUAAUCGCGCAUCAGCCAUGGCGCGGUGAAUACGUUCCCGGGCCUUGUACACACCGCCCGUCAAGCCAUGGGAGCCGGGGGUGCUUGAAGUGCGUCGCCGCAAGGCGCGCCCUAGAGCAAAACCGGUGACUGGGGCUAAGUCGUAACAAGGUAAC